rnacentral:rRNA from 1 species
AGUGGCGCACGGGUGAGUAACGCGUAGGUAACGUGCCUUCAGGUGGGGAACAACCGUGGGAAACCAUGGCUAAUACCGCAUAAUGUCGAGAGAUGAAAGCCUUCGGACGCCUGGAGAGCGGCCUGCGUCCCAUUACCUGGUUGGUAGGGUAACGGCCUACCAAGGGAGCGAUGGGUAGCUGGUCUAAGAGGAUGAUCAGCCACACUGGAACUGAGACACGGUCCAG